AAUGUUACAAACCAAUCUAAAUUUAUUCAUAGUAUCCUUUAUGACUUGGAUUGUACAAUAUAUUUAGUUCAUGUAAUAUUUGGCCUUUUUCAGUAUGCUACGCAGUUACCAGUGUUAAUCUAUCGACUGACGUUUUAGUUCCGAGUAUUGGUGAAGACAUUCAUCUCCUCUGUAAUUUUAUGCCUUCGAAUCAGCAUGCUGAUAUAUUGAUCACAAAAGACAACGUGACAAGUUUAGCAUCUAAAAUAUGCUUCAACGAUGGAGAUUGCAAAAAUUGGAAUUCACAGUCCGGAAAGAUGACAUGGCAGACGGACGAAUCAUCCGCUGAAUUGACAAUCAGCAAAUGGAGUAUGAGUCACCGAGGAGACUAUCAAUGCAUUGUGGACAACAUAAGAUCAAAUACCUUGAACCUGAAAGAAAUAAUGCCUGAACAACCUGACACUCCAAAAAUUAUGCUCAACAAUCUGAGAGCUGGUGAAGAAACCAAAAUAAACUGUACUUCAAACAAUGGAUACCCAUCUCCAGUCAUCUAUUGGUACGUGGAAUCAAGAAACCUCACGAUGAAUUCAUCUAUUCGGACGGAAAGGAAUGAGAAUGGACGAUGGAAGGCUACCAGUACUCUUAUUUACACACCAUCAAUAUAUGACCAUGGGAAAGAGCUUAUCUGUCAAGUAGUCCAACCGUCGGCGGCUCCCGUUGUUUCUUCGCAGAACGAUACCAGGGUCCUCAAUAUCGUAUAUCCACCAAUCAUUUCUCUUCGACUCCUUGAUAACGAUGAGGCGGUUUCCAACAUGACCAGUGUCGAAUUCGAAUGUACAUCAGAUGCAAACCCAAAAAGCAUUGACUUUUCUUGGUACCACAACCAGCUGAUCAUAAUCAACAGCACAGGUCAGUUUGUUGUCCUUGACAGGGUUCAGAGGAAAACGGUUUCAACUAGUCGCCUUAUCAUCAAUGAUGUUCAACGAAUGCAUUCCGGGAAAUAUGAAUGUCACGUGAUUACCGUUCUUGGUAAUGCCACUGCGACUUUGAACUUUUCUUAUUGCUUGGCGGAAUUAACAGUGGCACUACAACCACCGGUUAACUUACCCAUCAUGGGAGAGGAUUUCACAAUGACGUGCAGCUAUUGGACUCCAUUACCAGGUAGCGUGAUAAAAUGGUCACAUGACCAAGGGAACAUCAUUGCUACCUUUGAUGAGGGAAACAACAAAACUCAAUACUUGACAGCAAAACAACCAAAAUUUAAAUUGAUAGGGGAUGACCAAAGGACGUUCCUUAUAAUAAACAAUCUGAAUACUGACGAUAAUGGAAAUUACACAUGCACUGUACUGAAUCACAGUGGACGCAAUUCAUCGACUUUGGCAUUAGAAGUAUUACAUCCAGCUCCACCUAGUGACGUAAUCAUCAGCGAUAUUCAGUCUCAUGGAGGAUACCAUGAAAACUCUUACAUUACCAUGACGACGGGUGACCCACAAGACAUAACAUGCACUGUACAAGGGGCACGUCAACCGGCUCUUAUUGAAUGGAACACCGAUGUUGAACUAUCCAUGUCAUGAAUCAAAUCAAUGUUGUUGAAGGCCAACGCUACGUAUCUCACAGGGUAGCAACCAUCAUCCCUUUUCCAUCGGGAACUGAAAAUGGUUCUCCAAGCAACAUUAUCCAUCUGCAUAUUUAUUUCAGAAAGGUACCUGUAGCUUCGGGGAAUUCAACGCCUCGAUCGCCAACGAUGACAUCCCUACCAUCGGAUAUAGUAUUCAACUUACUUGUGUCUACUCGUACCAGCUCAGCCGGUUUCGAAUCGCAUGGAGGAGAAGAGACAUAGGAACACUGGUUUCUGUGGAAUGCUCUAGCAGUGUGCCGGAUUGUGAACGAAGGAAUUCUAAUCCCUUAAAGUUCAUAUUUACGAUGGAUAGUCAACAUUUUAACUUGACGAUCAGGGAUUUGACAGUGGAUGAUACUGACAAAUACCAGUGCCAGUUCACCGGUAUAGGUUACUUUGAAAAAGCAGCGGUUCAGCUUGAAGUGUUUGCAAGAACCCCACCACGUAGCAUAACCAUUCAUGAUGAUCGGUCUCUGGAGGGAUAUCAAGACAACUCCUAUGUGACCAUGACGACAGGUCAACCACGUGACUUAACAUGCACAGUACGAGGAGCACGUCCACGGGCUCUCAUUGAAUGGCGCACCGAUGUUGAAUGUAUCCAGGUCAUGGAUCAGAUCAAUGUUAUCGAAGGUGAAAUGUACUUAUCUACCAGGGUAGCAACCACUACCUCUUUUAAAGUAGACCACAACGGAAUCAGAAGAUGAAUA